GCAAAAUGGCCUCCUGCCGCUUAAACUUUCACCCAUUUAUAACCCGUUAAAUGAACUUAUUACUUUCUCAUUUAGACACUUUUACUUGUUCAAUUGCAUAAUAAUAAUAAACCCUUUUGACCGUUGACCAUGAUUAAGUGGCAAAGAUCCAACUGAUGUGGAAGACAUGUGUUAAUCAUGCUGAUAUAGAGCGUGAAUAGGCUUACUUUAAUUAAAAAGGUACUAAAUUCAUAAAACAAAUACUAAACAACAAAAAACAAAAUAAAAAGAAAUCCCCAAUGCCUACCCCUUUCUUUCCCUAUUCCCACCUUCGUCCAUUCUUUUUCUUUUACCCCACCCCUUUUUCUCGUUUCCUGUUUCACCUUCUUAAAAUGUUCGGAUUUGCGGUGGGUGGGUCUGAUGGCAAGGAUGCGGUCAAAGUUGCGAUAUUAACUUACAAUUCUGAAUCUACCAACUAUCUCUAUAUUAAAGACUUGUUGUACAUCUCUAUUUCUCUGUAAUUUAAGAGGUUAAGAGCUGAAUAAUAUAGGCUUUAAUUUCCAUUUUAUGGAUUUUCAAGUAGGAAAAUAUUUGAUGAAAUAUCUAGAAGAACCGGUGAGAUUCUUUUAAAGAAAAUAAAAAAAAAUGAGAUGAGAAAGGAGCUGGUAUUUUCGAAGAAGACGGUGACUGGCAUGAUUGUGAUGGUGGUCCGUUGCUGGAAUAAAAUUACAUAUGAGUAUUUUUGUUUGUCUAUUAUGAUUUAUGGUGGCCAGUUGGAUUUUUUGAGUGAGGAGGGAUUUUCUUGGUCAUGAGAUUGUGACGAGACUGGUGGUUUGAGGUGUUGUGGUGGUUCACGGUGGACUAAGAACCGGAAGAGAAGAAAAAUAAAUAGCGAAAUGGUCUAAAUUAAUAAAUCUAUCUAUAUAUAUAUCUAUAAUUGAGGGGCCUAACGUUGUUACGUGGUGCUCCAAUUCAAUAGGGACUGGAAUUAUCUUUUUCUAUGAUUUUCUGCUAUUUUUUCUAAUUUUUCACCAUCAAAAACCAAAAGUCACCCUAAACCAAAAAUAUACAACGCUUCAAAAAUAACUGUUUCUUUUCCAACAGAUGCUUUACUCUCUCUGUUUCCUUUCCUCCCUCUAUCUCAGUAUUCAUCCUCCUUUAUCUUUCUAUUUUCCUAUUGUUCUUUUCGUUUGCCUUUGUUAAAAUUCUUUAUACUCUUUCUCCUCCCUCUUUUUUAUUCUACACUGCUUUUGCUUCACGUUUGUUGAUUUACUUUAUUUCCUCUACUAAUCUCUAAACUCUUUCCUCACGGUCAUUUCCAAUUUGCGUUUUCUAGUUACUUUCACUUUAAUUUUUAAUUCCCCUCUGACUUUGAUUCACUCCUUUGUCACCAUAACAACUGCUUAUUUUGACGCCCAUGAAGUGUUCGAAAAUAUGCCCAAUACUUUGCCCACGGAUUCAGAAAAUGCUGCAAAUUUACUCAACACUUGCCGGUAUGUAAUCCUUCCUUACGGUCAUUUCCAAUUUGCGUUUACCAGUUACUUUCGCUUUGAUUUUUAAUCCUGAUGUGUCUUUGACUCACUCCUUUGCCAGCAUAACAACGGCUUAUGACG
rnacentral:lncRNA from 1 species